rnacentral:rRNA from 1 species
GAUGAACGCUAGCGGCAGGCUUAAUACAUGCAAGUCGUGGGGCAGCAUGAGUAGCAAUACUUGAUGGCGACCGGCAAACGGGUGAGGAACACGUACACAACCUUCCUUCAAGCGGGGAAUAGCCCAGAGAAAUUUGGAUUAAUACCCCAUAAUAUAUUUGAUAAGGCAUCUUAUUAAAUAUUAAAGCUUUCGGCACUUGAUGAUGGGUGUGCGGCUGAUUAGAUAGUUGCGGGUAACGGCCCACCAAGUCUACGAUCAGUAGCUGAUGUGAGAGCAUGAUCAGCCACACGGGCACUGAGACACGGGCCCGAUCCUACGGGAGGCAGCAGUAAGGAUAUUGGACAAUGGACGAGAGUCUGAUCCAGCCAUGCCGCGUGAAGGAUU